UUGCACACAGUUGGUAUUUUUU
rnacentral:miRNA from 1 species